UGGGGAAUAUUGGACAAUGGGCGCAAGCCUGAUCCAGCCAUGCCGCGUGAGUGACGAAGGUCUUCGGAUUGUAAAGCUCUUUUUGGCGGGGACGAUAAUGACGGUACCCGCAGAAUAAGCCCCGGCUAACUUCGUGCCAGCAGCCGCGGUAAUACGAAGGGGGCUAGCGUUGUUCGGAAUUACUGGGCGUAAAGCGCACGUAGGCGGACUGAUAAGUCAGGGGUGAAAUCCCGGGGCUCAACCUCGGAACUGCCUUUGAUACUGUUAGUCUCGAGUCCGGAAGAGGUGAGUGGAAUUCCUAGUGUAGAGGUGAAAUUCGUAGAUAUUAGGAAGAACACCAGUGGCGAAGGCGGCUCACUGGUCCGGUACUGACGCUGAGGUGCGAAAGCGUGGGGAGCAAACAGGAUUAGAUACCCCCGUAGUCCCUGAGCGGGCUGGCAAG
rnacentral:rRNA from 1 species